GAUGAACGCUGGCGGCGUGCCUAAUACAUGCAAGUCGAGCGAACAGACGAGGAGCUUGCUCCUCUCACGUUAGCGGCGGGCGUGUGAGUCACACGUGUAUCCCCUCCCUAUCUUACUGGUAUAUCUUCGGGAAACCGGCGCUUAUACCGGAUAAUAUCUUGCACCGCAUGGUUCAAUAGAGAAUGACGGUUUUGCUGUCACUUAUAGCUGGAUCUGCGCUGCAUUAGCUAGUUGUUAAGUUCACGGCUUACCACGGCAACGAUGCGUAGCCGACCUGAGGGGGGGGUCGGCCACACUGGAGCUGGGACACGGACCAGACGCCUACGGGAGGCAGCAGUAGGGAAUCGUCCGCAGUAGGCGGGAGCCUUGCGGAGCAAGGCCGCGUGAGUGAUGGAGGUCUUCGGAUCGGAAAACUCUGUUAUUAGGGAAGAACAGAUGUGGAAGGAACUAUACACGGCUUGACGGUACCGGAUCAGAAAGCACCGGCUAACUACGUG
rnacentral:rRNA from 1 species